CAUCUUUAUUUACUCCUCGUAGAACCACACCAACACUCUCUUUCUUCUGCUAAGAUCUGAUUCACAUCUUCAACUCUAUGUUACGAAGAAUACUCUUCCAACUACCAACUUUCUCUCUUGCUCUCAUCCUCUGCAGAAACUGAUUUUCUUAGAUAAGCUCGGUGCAACACAAUCUGCUUUGAGAAUUAUUUCUCCAAAGAACCCUGUAAAAGACUCAGAUGCAUUAUGUGAGAACUGUAAAAUUCAUACAAGG